GAUGAACGCUGGCGGCGUGCCUAAUACAUGCAAGUCGAGCGAACGGACGAGAAGCUUGCUUCUCUGAUGUUAGCGGCGGACGGGUGAGUAACACGUGGAUAACCUACCUAUAAGACUGGGAUAACUUCGGGAACCCGUAGCCAAUACCGGAUAAUAUUUUGAACCGCAUGGUUCAAAAGUGAAAGACGGUCUUGCUGCCCCUUAUAGAUGGUUCCGCGCUGCAUUAGCUAGUUGGUAAGGUAACGGCUUACCAAGGCAACGAUGCAUAGCCGACCUGAGAGGGUGAUCGGCCACACUGGAACUGAGACACGGCCCAGACUCCUACGGGAGGCAGCAGUAGGGAAUCUUCCGCAAUGGGCGAAAGCCUGACGGAGCAACGCCGCGUGAGUGAUGAAGGUCUUCGGAUCGUAAAACUCUGUUAUUAGGGAAGAACAUAUGUGUAAGUAACUGUGCACAUCUUGACGGUACCUAAUCAGAAAGCCACGGCUAACUACGUG
rnacentral:rRNA from 1 species